UGCGAUGAUGAUCUAUUUAUAAUCUCGUUAAUCCGAUUAUCUAAUGAGGAUAAAUUAUUCAUUCAUUCAAUCUGAGC